rnacentral:tRNA from 2 species
GCGCCCGUAGCUCAGCGGAUAGAGCACCGGACUUCUAAUCCGAUGGUCGGAGGUUCGAAUCCUCCCGGGCGCA